rnacentral:rRNA from 1 species
GUACGCUAUUCAGAGUUUGAUCCUGGCUCAGGACGAACGCUGGCGGCGUGCUUAACAUAUGCAAGUCGAACGAAGUUUUUCCUUCGGGGAAAACUUAGUGGCGGACUGGUGAGUAACACGUGAGUAACCAACCUCAUACAGGGGGAUAACUGGGAGAAAUCUCAGCUAAUACCGCAUGGAACAAGAAAGUCGCAUGAAGAGUUAAAGGAGAAAUCCGGUAUGAGACGGACUCGCGCAUCAUUAGCUAGUUGGUGAGAUAACGGCCCACCAAGGCUACGAUGAUUAGCCGGCCUGAGAGGGUGUACGGCCACAUUGGGACUGAGAUACGGCCCAG